CAGGCCUAACACAUGCAAGUCGAACGGUAGCACAGAGAGCUUGCUCUCGGGUGACGAGUGGCGGACGGGUGAGUAAUGUCUGGGAAACUGCCCGAUGGAGGGGGAUAACUACUGGAAACGGUAGCUAAUACCGCAUAACGUCUUCGGACCAAAGUGGGGGACCUUCGGGCCUCACACCAUCGGAUGUGCCCAGAUGGGAUUAGCUAGUAGGUGGGGUAAUGGCUCACCUAGGCGACGAUCCCUAGCUGGUCUGAGAGGAUGACCAGCCACACUGGAACUGAGACACGGUCCAGACUCCUACGGGAGGCAGCAGUGGGGAAUAUUGCACAAUGGGCGCAAGCCUGAUGCAGCCAUGCCGCGUGUAUGAAGAAGGCCUUCGGGUUGUAAAGUACUUUCAGCGGGGAGGAAGGCGGUGGAAGUUAUAGCUUCAUCGAUUGACGUUACCCGCAGAAGAAGCACCGGCUAACUCCGUGCCAGCAGCCGCGGUAAU
rnacentral:rRNA from 1 species